CUGAUUGUUAUCUGGGCUGGUUGUUUUAAUCAGCAGUCAGCUGCUGCUGCUGUUGUUGCUGGCGGUGGAUGCCGUGAUUAAAUUCGCUGCCAUGGAGCUUCCUUUUGGGGGCUGCAUAUGUUUUCCUUCUCAAAAAGGAUGCAAAAUUGCACAUGGCUACUCUCUUGCGGAUGAUGAAUUCAGUAGCCAUGCAGGUGGUCCACAAACUUCAAACCAGUUUCAUUCUGGAGCAUCUUUAUACACAAACCAUGUCUCUGUUAGUCCAAGGGAUGAGAUGCACGCUUUGAGACAUCAGAGCUUUGUUUCCCCUCAGAGAGAACCAGCCACCGUGAAAACAACGAGGAUGCUAGCUCUGUAACUAGCCUCAGUGAAGAGGUGCAAAGCAAACCUGACUCGGACAUGAACCACAUAAGUUUUUGUGGCAUGAGCAUGAAAGUUCUGAUUAUCAACAUCCCUUUGGCCUUUUUAACAAGGAAGCACACACAACCAAAAACUAUGGAGGGCAUCGGUUUCCCAACAAUCAAAGAUUUCAAACAGUUUAUAGAAACAAAUGAAAAGCUCCUUUUUUAUGCCAGUUUUGAGAAAUUGAGUAAAAUUUUUCAAACCGCACAGGAAAUAAUGGAAAACAAGACGGAUUUGAAUGCUGAAAAUAUUGAGGGAGAACCUGGCACAACCAAGCGUAUUUCUGGCAUAUCAAUCAAAGGACAUCAACUACACUCCCAACGUCCACCUGCCACUAUUUAGUGGUUCGGUUUCUUCUAGCUCUGAAAACCUUUCACCACAGAGUAGUAGUGGUCAGGUGGAAAUUCAAACAAGCAGCCCACAUGAUGCUGGGUAGCAAGUUUUCAACACAAAGUAGCCAGUCAGAUUCCAUUUGGUGUUUUCUGUGAAACCUUCCAGCUCUCUUUAUGGCUGAAGCAGACAUGACGGCUAUCUUGGAGACCACAGAGUCAGUGUUACAAAGAUGAAGAGAAAUCAGACACCCUCUGAGCAGAAUCUAGUCUCUGCCAUUCAGGAACCAAAGCAAAUGACUGAGAGUACCCUGAUUCCCAUUUCUAGUGGCUUAGAUUACACCCAGAGUGGCAUCUCAUCUCAGGCCACUCUCUAACUAACUUGGCUUCAACCUCAGCAGCAGAGAAAACCUUAUCAGGAUUAGUUGGCCAUUUAGACAUGUCCAGGAACUUUAGAUUCAACAAUAUAAUCUCUGAUAGGUUUACAACUGGUGAUAUAUCUAAUGCCAGAAACCCCCAAUGCUCAUUUUCUACCCCACAAAGAUGAGACAUUUCUCUAAAUGGUGGCUAUAUGGGUGCAGCAAGAGCUGGCCUAUUACACACUUCCAGACAAGCGACUCAAGUAUGGAAGCGUCCAGUUAAUAUGAAUAAAGAGCCCGGAAACUUGGCCUACUGGCCUCCUAAACCGCUGUCUGCAUCCAAACUUUCUGGUACCACUUUAAGUGGUGUCUUUCAGAGAAAUGGUGGCAACACAGAAAGGCUUCCUCCUCAAACAGACCCCCAUAAGUCACCACCGUCUGUAAACACAUAUGUUGUGAAGUCCAGAAACAGCUAUGUAAGGGGCAAAGUGUUUCUAUCCAAGACCAGUUAUACAACAUAUCAGCUGGAUGAAUGCAAAACUGGUAAACUCCAAUGGUAUCCGAGGCAACAUAAAUACAGAAACACUGUAUCCCACAAUGUUAAAGGAUAUAAAGAACCGCAAAGGAGAAUCAACACUAUUCCCAGUGAGAGAUAAAAUGGUAUGAAAAACUUUAGAAUAUUUUGCCUGCGAAUAUGAAGUGUUUAAGUUUAUGAUUAAUUAGAAUAGUAUAACUAAAAACAUUUCUCACAUCUCAAACUCUCAUACAGUUCCAGAGACAUGAUUUAUGUAAUUGAGAUCCUGAAUGAAUUACACAGAUUCAAAGACAGCAGUGGCCAGAUGUUUCAGUAAGAAACUUUUGAUAGUCAAUUGAACUUAAGGUAUUGAGGUAAACAAGGCUGUUUUAAAGGUGUGGGAUUGCAUUGGAGGCAAAUAUGCAUAUACCAAAAAUCUAGAAACCAUUUAUGCCUAAACAUCACUUUGCCGACCGGUUUUUGUGCAGAGCUAGUGCUUGAGACUUCAGUAAGAAAACAGCUCCACUGAAAAGCUGCUGACUCACGCACAAUUUGAUUUUUCUUAGAACCAUGUACGAUUAUGGCAAAGAAAUAUUGUCUUUAACUUAAAUCUUGUUUAGCGAAAAGUGUUUGUUAGGCGACACUUUAGUCAAGCAGGCCGAGAAAAACACUAACUACCCAAGUGGUGAUGGAGCUUUUGCCCUUUCUCCCUUUUCAGUUAAUCAAAUCCUGAUUUGUUGAUUGUGACAGCAAUACUGCAGGCCUACCUGAAGCAAGAGCUUGUUAAAUGCUUCCUGUAAUGGGAGUAGGCCUUCUCGAACAGACAAAAGGACCGCUAGAAAAGUAUAUGGAACAGCGAUUAAUAUAAUAGCACUAAAGCUAAUUUCAUUUGAGUCUGAAUGAUAUGUCUAACAAAUCUGGGAUUUAACCUGACUUUUAAUAGUAUGUAUACUACUAAACCAUACUGUACCAUGGUGUCAUCUGGGUCCAUAUAGACCGUGUCCACAGUCCUAUGUGUCAGAGAGGUUGUUGCAGUACGCUCUUCUACAUGAGCAAUAAACUCGUGCCUCAAAAAAGAAUAGAAAAGAAAGAAAGUUAAAAUCAAAACAAAUCUUUGAAUGAUUUGGCACUCAGACAGAUUUAACAGAACCAUUAUGCUACUUAAUAGUAUGAAUAAAUAAUAAGAUGAAUACAUCCAAGUUGACAAAGACGAUAUAUUUUACAUCAGAGAUACUGUCUAAAAAUUAAUUAUGGCUGUAAUGUUAGUCCCGAGUACACUGGUGCUUAGGAUCCCUGGGGGCGUUGCUUUUCAAAGUCACUUCUAGAAAAUCUAUGUACUGUACUUGAUUAUUGUUUUAUGUACUUAAAGGGACACCUAAAAAUCUGUUAAUGUGAGAAAAUGAACAAUGAAUGGCAAUGUAACUAGAGGAGCACAUUAUGUAAUUGGACAUGCAUAGUGAUAGAAAUACUAUUUACAAACAACACUUUUCAGUUUAAAUUCAAGCUGACCUUUUCAGUGACUUUUAUUUUAAGGUCCACAGUUGGAAUGUGGAUUGGAUGUGACAUGGAUUUUUAAUCUUCACUCCUCCACAUUAUGUAGCCUAACAUGACUUCCACUCACACAGCAGUAAAAUAAAACUUGAGAAAGUGAGCCACCAAGUGUCUGUCUCAAGGAAAGACACAAGAAAGGAGGUCUACCUACCAGUCAACAUCCUGAAGAUUAUCAUGUCCCUGGAAAGCCUUGAGAGUGUUUUUCAGAAACUGUAUUGGGUCAUUGGGACAUGACAGGCAUGAAGCUGUCAAUAAGGCCUAUUGUGAAAUAAAGACAGAAAUUAUUUUUCACAUUCAGGAAAAAGUUUUCAAGUGGUGAUAAUAGUCUA